rnacentral:lncRNA from 1 species
GUUUUCCUGCUGCUCGAUUAACACAUGGCACAGUUUCUGAUCUAGUUCAGACGGCAAUACUCCCUUGCUCUGGUAUGAAUCAAACCUCUCUCCCACUGGCUCAUGCAAACUUUUGGCUGAAACCUCAGUCUGCAAAAGUAUUUUCGGGUGAGUAGCAAAAUUGUUGUAAUUCUAAGCAGAAGCAACAGAGUUUAUAAAAAGUCAGAGCAGAAAAAAUAUAUAUAUUUAUGUAUAUGUACUCAUUGCAGAGGUAUUUAUAUGUUUCCCAUCUUGCUUAUGCAAUUUUUCUCAUUCAUCAGCUACUAUGUUUCUUUACUCUAACCACACAAAUUGGCAUAUUCCGUCUUUAAGGUCUGUUCAAUGUCCACAGUUAUCAAAUUUCCCCAUGUAAAGUGAUGCUAUCACUGCUCAUCUUCAUUCCAUAUGUUUCAGUUCCUCUUGGUAUGGCUUAAUACCAGCAUGCAGAAGUUCCUAUUCAUAUUCGAAAAAAUAUCCAAAGUGCUCUACAUUAUGAAGGUUGCUGCAUGCACCGUUAGUUCUGUAGCACGAUUUACUUUGAAAAUGUUACGUCAGUUGGUCACAUGAACUAUCAGCUAGUAUUAGCAUCAAGCGGUCAAGCUAUGAACUAAGAUCCACAAAGAUAUUCCUUUCAACAAGUAAACCUACUAGCUACUCUCUCAUGCAUUUUACUCCUUGAUCACUCACACAUACAGUAAAACAGUUAGUAGUUAAACUUGGUCAGCUAUGGAAUUUCAUUGAUAAGAAUCAUUUGUUAAAGUGGUCUGAAAUUGCAUUUAAAAGAGAAUUGUUGGAUCUAGAGACAAAAUUAUCCCUUUGAGAGUUUAAUCAAAAUCUAAUUUUAGAUAACUCUUGUCUUAAAUAUUUAGUAAAGGUAGAGAUAUGGAUAAACCAGUAAAAAGGAAGCACCUUUAACCAGUAAGUAAUUGAAAUGAAGGAUGUAAAGGUAGUUGAAAAGUUAACCUCACUCAAUUUUUGCAGUUCUAACUCGAGCUCUGCCUCUAGUUGAUCCAUUUCCACAACCUCCAGCUCUGGUUCAGGCUCUUCGGUAAGAACACUACUGGCAUAUUCACCAUCAUCAAUUACUGGGAGGCUGCAGACUUUGGUCUCAUUAUGGUCUCUGGUC